GAGUUUGAUCCUGGCUCAGAGUGAACGCUGGCGGCAGGCCUAAUACAUGCAAGUCGGACGGCAGCACAGCAGAGCUUGCUCUGUGGGUGGCGAGUGGCGGACGGGUGAGGAAUACAUGGGAAUCUGCCCAGUCGUGGGGGAUAACGUAUGGAAACGUACGCUAAUACCGCAUGCGCCCUUAGGGGGAAAGCCGGGGACCGAAAGGCCUGGCGCGAUUGGAUGAGCCCAUGUUCGAUUAGCUAGUUGGCGGGGUAAAGGCCCACCAAGGCGACGAUCGAUAGCUGGUCUGAGAGGAUGAUCAGCCACACUGGGACUGAGACACGGCCCAGACUCCUACGGGAGGCAGCAGUAGGGAAUAUUGGACAAUGGGCGCAAGCCUGAUCCAGCCAUGCCGCGUGAGUGAAGAAGGCCCUCGGGUUGUAAAGCUCUUUUGUCCGGAAAGAAAAGCAUUCGGUUAAUACCCGGGUGUUCUGACGGUACCGGAAGAAUAAGCACCGGCUAACUUCGUGCCAGCAGCCGCGGUAAUACGAAGGGUGCAAGCGUUACUCGGAAUUACUGGGCGUAAAGCGUGCGUAGGUGGUUUGUUAAGUCUGAUGUGAAAGCCCUGGGCUCAACCUGGGAAUGGCAUUGGAUACUGGCAGGCUAGAGUGUGGCAGAGGGUAGUGGAAUUCCUGGUGUAGCAGUGAAAUGCGUAGAGAUCAGGAGGAACAUCCGUGACGAAGGCGACUGCCUGGGCCAACACUGACACUGAGGCACGAAAGCGUGGGGAGCAAACAGGAUCAGAUACCCUGAUAGUCCACGCCCUAAACGAUGCGAACUGGAUGUUGGGUGCAAUUUGGCACGCAGUAUCGAAGCUAACGCGUUAAGUUCGCCGCCUGGGGAGUACGGUCGCAAGACUGAAACUCAAAGGAAUUGACGGGGGCCCGCACAAGCGGUGGAGUAUGUGGUUUAAUUCGAUGCAACCCGAAGAACC
rnacentral:rRNA from 1 species